rnacentral:rRNA from 1 species
UGGCCUAACGGCUGAACCAGCAACUUGGAGGAAUGAAUGGCGAAAGCUAGUAAAGUCAAGAAAGACAUCGAUUUACUCGAAUAAAGUUCUAUGGUGAAGCUUGAUAAUGACAUCUUUGCUAUAAGUCUCGACUAAGCUACGUGCCAGCAGUCGCGGUAAUACGUAGGAGGCAAGUGUUAUUCAUCUUUAUUAGGUCUAAAGGGUACCUAGACGGCGUGUUAAGCCUAGAGGGACUGACAUAGCUAGAGUUAUUUGUGAGGGGGCCAGGUACUAGUCAGUGUAGAGAUGAAAUUCUUUGAUACGUUUUUCGGUAGAUACAUCAUGGCACGGGUCGCGGCGAAAGCUUCUCUUUAUGUAAUAGCUUCAUAUAACCAAAAGGAUUAGGUACCCUAGCAGUUGAAAGCAGACAAUUAUGAGUGUCAUAGAUCAAUCUUGUUUAUAAACGAUAGUGCAUGCACUCCACCUCAAGAGUAAUUUGGCAACAUUGGAACUGAAAUCAUUAGACCGUUUCUGAAACCAGUAGUGAAGUAUGUUGUUUAAUUUGAUGAUCCACAAAGAACCUUACCAUGAAUAUUUACAGGCGUUGCACGGCUGUCUUCAGUUAAUGUCGUAAGAUUUUGGUUAGUUCCAUUAAUUUAACGUAAACCCUUACUUUAUUUUUAAUAUAAAGUUGUUCUCCGCUAGAUUGGAUAAGAUAACAGGGACUAAGACAAGUCAUCAUGGCCCAAAAGUAGUAAGCUUUUACAAAAGGAUGUGAAAUUGUGAAAUUAAGCUAAUCCUCCAAAACUAGCUAUACAACUUA